CUCUUCUUUAUAAAAAGCCUGUACAGUCGUAGCCAAAAGUUUUGAGAAUCACAUAAAAUAUUGGAUAUUGGAAAUGUUGCUGCUUGAAGUUUUUAAAAUAGCAAUUUGCAUAUACUCCAGAAAUGUUAUGAAGAGUGAUCAGAUGAAUUACAUAGUCCUUCUUUGCCAUGAAAAAUUAACUUAAAUCCCCAAAAAAAUAACUUUUCACUGCAUUUCA